rnacentral:rRNA from 1 species
UACAGAGGUGGCAAGCGUUGUUCGGAUUUACUGGGCGUAAAGGGCGCGUAGGCGGCCUUGUCAGUCAGGCGUGAAAGCCCCGGGCUCAACCUGGGAACGGCGCUUGGGACGGCGAGGCUGGAGUUCGGGAGAGGAGAGUGGAAUUCCCAGUGUAGAGGUGAAAUUCGUAGAUAUUGGGAAGAACACCGGUGGCGAAGGCGGCUCUCUGGACCGACACUGACGCUGAGGCGCGAAAGCGUGGGGAGCAAACAGG